rnacentral:rRNA from 1 species
CUGGCGGCAGGCCUAACACAUGCAAGUCGAGCGGAUGAAGGGAGCUUGCUCCUGGAUUCAGCGGCGGACGGGUGAGUAAUGCCUAGGAAUCUGCCUGGUAGUGGGGGAUAACGUCCGGAAACGGGCGCUAAUACCGCAUACGUCCUGAGGGAGAAAGUGGGGGAUCUUCGGACCUCACGCUAUCAGAUGAGCCUAGGUCGGAUUAGCUAGUUGGUGGGGUAAAGGCCUACCAAGGCGACGAUCCGUAACUGGUCUGAGAGGAUGAUCAGUCACACUGGAACUGAGACACGGUCCAGACUCCUACGGGAGGCAGCAGUGGGGAAUAUUGGACAAUGGGCGAAAGCCUGAUCCAGCCAUGCCGCGUGUGUGAAGAAGGUCUUCGGAUUGUAAAGCACUUUAAGUUGGGAGGAAGGGCAGUAAGUUAAUACCUUGCUGUUUUGACGUUACCAACAGAAUAAGCACCGGCUAACUUCGUG